CAAUAGCGUAUAUUAAAGUUGUUGCGGUUAAAAAGCUCGUAGUUGGAUUUCUGCUGAGGACGACCGGUCCGUCCUCCGGGUGAGCAUCUGGUUCGGCCUUGGCAUCUUCUUGGUGAACGUAUCUGCACUUGACUGUGUGGUGCGGUACCCAGGACUUUUACUUUGAGGAAAUUAGAGUGUUUCAAGCAGGCAUACGCCUUGAAUACAUUAGCAUGGAAUAAUAAGAUAGGACCUUGGUUCUAUUUUGUUGGUUCUAGAGCUGAGGUAAUGAUUAAUAGGGAUAGUUGGGGGCAUUAGUACUAACUGUCAGAGGUGAAAUUCUCCCGAUUUGGUUUAAAGACUAACUUAUGCGAAAAGCAUUUUGCCA
rnacentral:rRNA from 1 species